GCCACGAACCGGUCUGGGCUGCCUCCGGAGCAGAAGGCCGCAGGUUCGAAUCCUGCCGGGGGCA
rnacentral:tRNA from 1 species